GCAUUCGCAUUCGCGAGAUAUGGCCGAUGUUCAUUUGAAAAUAAAAUUUUAAGUGAAUGGAUUUAUACGUGUGUGCACAGCAAAGGAGGAGCAAGGAGGUGACGGUGAAAUUGGUGGAGGUUUAUGGAUUCAGAAUUGGUGUAAUACAUAACAACAACAACGCAGAAAACAAUGGAAAAUAACACGCCGAGUCCACAACAGCGCGCCACGCAUCUCUCCUUUUGUUAGUUAGGCGUCAAUUGGUAAUACCAAGUGAAGAUAGGUCCUUCUCCACCUGGUCCUUCCAUCGGAGUGGAGGUCUUCCUCUUCCUCGGCUUCCACCAGCGGGUACCGCAUCGAAAACUUUCAGAGCUGAGACACUUUCGUCCGUUCGAACAACAUGACCAAGCCCGCGUAGCCGCUGUCUUUUUAUUCGCUGGACUAUGCCUAUGUCGUCGAACAACACAUACAGCUCAUCAUUUCAUCUUCUGCGGUUCGCUAAUGUUUAAGGGACCAUAAAUCUUCCGCAAAACCUUUCUCUCGAAAACUCCUAGUGCCGUCUCAUCGGAUGUUGACACCGUCCACGCUUCUGCACCAUAAAGUAGGACGGGAAUGAUGAGGGACUUGUAGAGUUUACUCAGUCCAUAAACACAAAUACUUUGCACAAAUGGAGGCUUACAAUAGCUACAACUUUUCUUAGGCAUGAUAAGCAAGACAACAACAAAUCCCAUCGGACAUUUAGGUUAGCAGUUGACAACCUCUUUCCGACUAUCUGAACCCUUUUAUGAUGUACAUAUGAGAUAGGAUUGUGUGGAAUUGACAUCAAACAAUAUUGGUUGAGUAGUUUCGUUUUAACCUUACAGAUUAGAUAUAAGGAAAUCGUUCGCGUUUAGUACUAAUGUAUUCAUUUUGAAUUAUGAAUUGAUAUAAAUUAUGAAUUAGAUUUAAAUGUAAAAUAUUGUUAAAUUAUACAAAUGAAUGUUCGAAUACUAAUAACAGUCGUAAUAGUAGUUGAAUUUUAUUUGUAUUGUAUAACAACAACUACAAAAUAUAAAAAUUUAAUAAUUAAUACUAACUUAAUUUGUAAAAUAUAUAAAUUUUAUCUAUGUAUAAAUGAUAGCUGCAAACACGUUUGUAA